GACGAACGCUGGCGGCGUGCUUAACACAUGCAAGUCGAACGGAAAGGCCCUGCUUUUGUGGGGUGCUCGAGUGGCGAACGGGUGCGUAACACGUGAGUAACGUGCUCUUGACUUUGGGAUAACUUCAGGAAACUGGGGCUAAUAUCGGAUCGGAGCCCCCGUGGCAUGGUGGGGGUUGGAAAUUUUCGGCGGUUGGGGAUGGAUUCGCGGCUUAUCAGCUUGUUGGUGGGGUAGUGGCUUACCAAGGCUUUGACGGGUAGCCGGCCUGAGAGGGUGACCGGCCACAUUGGGACUGAGAUACGGCCCAGACUCCUACGGGAGGCAGCAGUGGGGAAUAUUGCACAAUGGGCGGAAGCCUGAUGCAGCAACGCCGCGUGCGGGAUGACGGCCUUCGGGUUGUAAACCGCUUUCGCCUGUGACGAAGCGUGAGUGACGGUAAUGGGUAAAGAAGCACCGGCUAACUACGUG
rnacentral:rRNA from 1 species